rnacentral:pre_miRNA from 4 species
AAGUGCCACUGGAUCCGGCCGCCAUGGGCUCGGUGGUCGCCAGAUCUGGCCGCCCUGAGCUCGGGGGCAGCCGGAUCCGGCCGCCACAA